AUAUCACCACUGAGAUUAAAAUAAAAAGUAAUAAAUGAAAUGCAUUAGCUUUGUGGCUUUCCCACAUUUUUAAAAUGAAUGUGGGUUGUCAGCGUACAAGAUAUGCUCUCCAGGUUCGUUUGUUGUUUCACGAUUGCACCAUGAACACAAUAAUGGGCUUUCCCACGAUUUGUUUAAUUUGUUGUUAGAAUUACCGAGCAAACAACUAUUUGUCUCUGCUUUUUGCUUCUCUUGUGGACAGGUGGUGUUCAUGGUUAAAAAAUCCCCAUUGUUCUGUAUACUCAGCACCAUUUCAUGUGGUAAUUACUUUGUUAAUAAUGGUUAUCAUAUUUCUUAUUUAAUCUCUCCUUUUCUCACAAUACGUUUUUCAUUAAUAGCAAUAUUUUUAGUCACUACAGUAAGGAAAAAAGAAAGGUAAGGAGAAUUCUUUUAUCCAAAUUGGCGGAGUAGAGUCGGGUUACCAUCCACUUUGUAGUUUGUAUGUGAUGAUCAUUGACGCUGAUGUAUGAAAGGUUGACAAUAUUUGGUCCAUCUGAUGAGUUCCAUGCAUAUUUUUGCUAUUAGCUAAGACACUCUUUUCAGUUCCGAUGCCA